GCGGCGUGCCUAAUACAUGCAAGUCGAGCGAAUGGAUUAAGAGCUUGCUCUUAUGAAGUUAGCGGCGGACGGGUGAGUAACACGUGGGUAACCUGCCCAUAAGACUGGGAUAACUCCGGGAAACCGGGGCUAAUACCGGAUAACAUUUUGAACCGCAUGGUUCGAAAUUGAAAGGCGGCUUCGGCUGUCACUUAUGGAUGGACCCGCGUCGCAUUAGCUAGUUGGUGAGGUAACGGCUCACCAAGGCAACGAUGCGUAGCCGACCUGAGAGGGUGAUCGGCCACACUGGGACUGAGACACGGCCCAGACUCCUACGGGAGGCAGCAGUAGGGAAUCUUCCGCAAUGGACGAAAGUCUGACGGAGCAACGCCGCGUGAGUGAUGAAGGCUUUCGGGUCGUAAAACUCUGUUGUUAGGGAAGAACAAGUGCUAGUUGAAUAAGCUGGCACCUUGACGGUACCUAACCAGAAAGCCACGGCUAACUACGUGCCAGCAGCCGCGGUAAUACGUAGGUGGCAAGCGUUAUCCGGAAUUAUUGGGCGUAAAGCGCGCGCAGGUGGUUUCUUAAGUCUGAUGUGAAAGCCCACGGCUCAACCGUGGAGGGUCAUUGGAAACUGGGAGACUUGAGUGCAGAAGAGGAAAGUGGAAUUCCAUGUGUAGCGGUGAAAUGCGUAGAGAUAUGGAGGAACACCAGUGGCGAAGGCGACUUUCUGGUCUGUAUCUGACACUGA
rnacentral:rRNA from 1 species